rnacentral:rRNA from 1 species
UACGUACGAGGCGAGCGUUAUCCGGAAUUAUUGGGCGUAAAGAGCUCGUAGGCGGUUUGUCGCGUCUGCUGUGAAAACGCGAGGCUCAACCUCGCGCCUGCAGUGGGUACGGGCAGACUAGAGUGCGGUAGGGGAGAUUGGAAUUCCUGGUGUAGCGGUGGAAUGCGCAGAUAUCAGGAGGAACACCGAUGGCGAAGGCAGAUCUCUGGGCCGUAACUGACGCUGAGGAGCGAAAGCGUGGGGAGCGAACAGG